GAUGAACGCUGGCGGCGUGCUUAACACAUGCAAGUCGAACGAUGAAAGCGGGAGCUUGCUCCUGCUGGAUUAGUGGCGAACGGGUGAGUAACACGUGAGCAAUCUGCCCCGAACUCUGGGAUAAGCGUUGGAAACGACGUCUAAUACCGGAUACGACGCGCGAAGGCAUCUUCUGCGCGUGGAAAGAACUUCGGUUCGGGAUGAGCUCGCGGCCUAUCAGCGAGUUGGUGAGGUAACGGCCCACCAAGGCGACGACGGGUAGCCGGCCUGAGAGCGUGACCGGCCACACUGGGACUGAGACACGGCGCAGACUCCUACGGGAGGCAGCAGUGGGGAAUAUUGCACAAUGGGCGCAAGCCUGAUGCAGCAACGCCGCGUGAGGGACGACGGCCUUCGGGUUGUAAACCUCUUUUAGUAGGGAAGAAGCGAAAGUGACGGUACCUGCAGAAAAAGCACCGGCUAACUACGUGCCAGCCGCCGCCGUAACAC
rnacentral:rRNA from 1 species